rnacentral:rRNA from 1 species
CCUACGGGCGGCUGCAGUGAGGAAUAUUGGUCAAUGGGCGAGAGCCUGAACCAGCCAAGUCGCGUGAGGGAGUACUGCCCUCUGGGUUGUAAACCUCUUUUGUCGGGGAGCACAAGCCGGACGUGUCCGGCUGUGAGAGUAACCGAAGAAAAAGCAUCGGCAAACACCGUGCAAGCAGCCGCGGCAAUACGGAGGAGGCGAGCGUUAUCCGGAUUUUUUGGGGUUAAAGGGUGCGCAGGCGGAUUUUUAAGUCUGCGGUAAAUUCGAGGGGCUCAACCCCAUCCAGCCGUUGAAACUGGGGAUCUAGAGUGUGCGAGAGGUAUGCGGAAUUCGAGGUGUAGCGGUGAAAUGCAUAGA